rnacentral:rRNA from 1 species
GACGAACGCUGGCGGCGUGCUUAACACAUGCAAGUCGAACGGUGAAGCUCCAGCUUGCUGGAGUGGAUCAGUGGCGAACGGGUGAGUAACACGUGAGCAACCUGCCCCUGACUCUGGAAUAAGCGCUGGAAACGGCGUCUAAUACUGGAUACGAGAAGGGUCCGCAUGGGCACCUUCUGGAAAGUUUUUCGGUUGGGGAUGGGCUCGCGGCCUAUCAGCUUGUUGGUGAGGUAAUGGCUCACCAAGGCGACGACGGGUAGCCGGCCUGAGAGGGCGACCGGCCACACGGGGACUGAGACACGGCCCAGACUCCUACGGGAGGCAGCAGUGGGGAAUAUUGCACAAUGGGCGAAAGCCUGAUGCAGCGACGCCGCGUGAGGGAUGACGGCCUUCGGGUUGUAAACCUCUUUCAGCAGGGAAGAAGCGAAAGUGACGGUACCUGCAGAAGAAGCACCGGCUAACUACGU